rnacentral:lncRNA from 1 species
CGCUCAGCGGACAUCAUGGGCUGUGUUCCAAUCCUAGUGAGGCGCGCUAUGUAGACAGCGCGCUAGAGCGUCACGUGAUCCUGACGCUGACUCCACACGCUGUCUAUGUAGGCGGCGCCAUAGAGUUAGAGACGCGGCCAGUGUGACACACACACACACACACACACACUUUCUCUGUCUCUCUCUCACACACACACACACACACACACACACUACUGAGUGAAAGUUGGAUAUCCCGCUGGCCGUGUCGAAUCGUAUCGCUUCCCGCGAAAAGCCCGUUUAAAUCCGCGCUCGAGCUAAUUUGUCGUUAUUUGGUCGUCCUCGGACUCCGGGACCGUUGGCGGAUUUGAGGCGGAAGCUCCACACAGACAUGCCCAGACACAAUAUGGAAACGCAGAAGAGUCAAUGGGACCCGGUCCGGAGAUCGCCGUGGAUCGUGAGAGUGGAGCAGAGCCCCGCCUCCUCGGGGGCGGAGUCAGACACCGAGGGCAGCAGCACAGAGAGCGAACAGCAUCGAGUCAAACAGGGAGGCGGAGUCUCGCUGACAUCACCGUCAAUGCUGCAGCAGCGAAUCACGGAGCUCGACCAGCAGAGGGAGGAGCUAAAGAUUGAGGUGAGUUUCCUUAAGGAAAAAUAUGACGCUGCCGACAUCAUUAAACACUAACUGUGACUAUAUUAACAUGCAAUAUUGUUGACGAAAACAGACGAG